CGAAAACGCCGCGGGGCUCUCUCCUCCUCGAUCUGCGACGGCUAAUCGGCGAUGGCGCCGGCGAGUAGCUGGCGAUCGCGCCGCGUGCCCGCUCUCCGGCGCUCCACUUGAGUCCUGCCUCUCCGCGUCCUUCCAGUUCCAGGACGAGCACCUGAAGGGUGUCCCGGCUGUCUCUACAACGAAGGGUGGCUCACCAAGUCGAGCAAGAUAUUGGACGCCUUGAAGUCGCGGUAGAUCACCGGCGGGUCGGCGUCGUGGAGGAAGGCGAGGCCUUUCGCCGCGCCGAGGGCAAUCUUCAUCCUUGUCAUCCAUGGAAGAGAACCAUUGACAGCUGCAGGAGAUCAGAUGUUUCAGCUCACCUAGAGACCUUGACUUUGAGAAAAGGGGAAAAAAAGAUAGGAAGUAAAGGCAAGCAGGGACAGGAACAGCUCAUCGUAUAUGGACGACCAUAUGUCUCCCAUACGUGCUCAAAUUUCUAAAAUUCCGUGUCUCUCUUUCUUUAUUUAUGGAAAGGUGGAGAAUUGCGUAAUCGUUUUUUAACCUUUUGGUCACAAAAAAACCACCAAUUUUACCCUCAAAUCGACCAAAUCAACCUGAUUGAUUCUUGUUGGAGACAAAGGACUCACUUUUGAAGAGAUGCUUCUCCAAGCUUUCGCCGCUCAUGUACUCGUACACCAGCAUCCGGU